rnacentral:rRNA from 1 species
UGAGGAAUAUUGGUCAAUGGGCGGAAGCCUGAACCAGCCAAGUCGCGUGAGGGAAGACGGUCCUAUGGAUUGUAAACCUCUUUUGCAGGGGCAGACCUGUUACGUGUAACAGGUUGGAGAGUACCCUGAGAAAAAGCAUCGGCUAACUCCGUGCCAGCAGCCGCGGUAAUACGGAGGAUGCGAGCGUUAUCCGGAUUUAUUGGGUUUAAAGGGUGCGUAGGCGGGCUGGUAAGUCAGCGGUAAAAAUGCGGUGCUCAACGCCGUAGUGCCGUUGAAACUGCCGGUCUUGAGUGAGCGAGAAGUAUGCGGAAUGCGUGGUGUAGCGGUGAAAUGCAUAGAUAUCACGCAGAACUCCGAUUGCGAAGGCAGCAUACCGGCGCUCAACUGACGCUGAGGCACGAAAGCGUGGGGAUCGAACAGGAUUAGAUACC